AGCAACCAGUCGCCCAUAGAUUGGAAAUGACUACUUCAGAGUGGUUAUUAAAAGAAUGACCCAGGUUCCUGAGGAGCUGACCUGAAUGACCAUUAUGGCCUCAAUCCGUUGUGCCUCUAUAUUCUUUGCAAAAUGCAAUGAAUAUUUACAGAGCUGACCAUGGCCGUUUGAGAAUCAGAGGAAUGGAAAGGCAAUGAAGUGACUUGGCCUACAGGUCUUUUGUGAGCAGGAGCUGGGGUUUCCUUAGAAGAAGCGUCCGUGUCAUGAUCCCCUUGUGUGUGGUGCUACGCAUAUGGAGGGAGCUUCCGGAUACUUCAGGGCAGUACGUUGG